rnacentral:rRNA from 1 species
UGGGGAAUCUUCCGCAAUGGACGAAAGUCUGACGGAGCAACGCCGCGUGAGUGAAGACGGCCUUCGGGUUGUAAAGCUCUGUUAUUCGGGAAGAACGAUUCGUUUGUGAACAAUGAACGGAAGUGACGGUACCGAAAGAGAAAGCCACGGCUAACUACGUGCCAGCAGCCGCGGUAAUACGUAGGUGGCAAGCGUUGUCCGGAAUUAUUGGGCGUAAAGAGCGCGUAGGCGGUAUGGUAAGUCUGUCUUAGAAGUGCGGGGCUUAACCCCGUGAGGGGACAGAGACUGUCAUACUGGAGUCUCGGAGAGGAAAGCGGAAUUCCUAGUGUAGCGGUGAAAUGCGUAGAGAUUAGGAAGAACACCGGUGGCGAAGGCGGCUUUCUGGACGAGCACUGACGCUGAGGCGCGUAAGCGUGGGGAGCGAACAGG